UACGUAGGGUGCAAGCGUUAAUCGGAAUUACUGGGCGUAAAGCGUGCGCAGGCGGCUUUGCAAGACAGAUGUGAAAUCCCCGGGCUCAACCUGGGAACUGCAUUUGUGACUGCAAGGCUAGAGUACGGUAGAGGGGGAUGGAAUUCCGCGUGUAGCAGUGAAAUGCGUAGAUAUGCGGAGGAACACCGAUGGCGAAGGCAAUCCCCUGGACCUGUACUGACGCUCAUGCACGAAAGCGUGGGGGAGCAAACGAGG
rnacentral:rRNA from 1 species